GAUGAUGGGAUAUGAGUGUCCAUCAAUUCUAUCUUUCUUAAUUAUUCAUAUCUUUUCUAAUUAUUGAAAUGAUCCUGUACAGGAUUGUGGAUGUUUGAUCAUGGGAUAUCGCGAUAUGAUCUACGAACAGAAUUUUUGAAAAAAAAUUUAUAGAAUUAUGUGGAUUAUUGAAAUACGUUCGAGGUAAGUAAUAUUUCAUUUUUUUUAGAUUUAUCAGCAAAUUAUAAUGUAUUUUCUGACAUAAUUUAUGAAAUGAUGCAUGGAUUGGAUGAAUGAUAUUUUGUUAUGAAAAAUAUCUUAUUUGAAAUAUUAUGAUAAAGUAUGAUUGAACAUAUUGAUUUCAUGAUGCAUUAUAUUGAUUGAUUUUGAUACUAUAUGAUUAUAUAUUUUUUUAUCAAAAUUAAAAUAUGAAAUAUGAUUUAUGAAGAAUUCUGAUAUAAGAACAAUAUAAAUUGAUAAUCUGACUAUGUAAAGGACCUCGCCAAUGAGGGCAUAUACGUUGGCAAUUAAUUUAUCCUGAGGAUUUAUGUCGCCAGCGAGACCAGUGACAUGUCGCCAGAGAGACUAGCGAUAAGCUGCCAGAAAGAUCAGCGGUUUCGAAAAACUUUGCUGCCUUAUGACCCUGCCACA
rnacentral:lncRNA from 1 species